GUUGUAUGGUUAAGUGACUAAGCGUACACGGUGGAUGCCUUGGCAGUCAGAGGCGAUGAAAGACGUAGUAACUUGCGAUAAGCCCAGAUUAGGUAGUAACAACCAUUUGAGUCUGGGAUUUCUGAAUGGGGAAACCCACUUACAUAAGUAAGUAUCGUUAUGUGAAUACAUAGCAUAACGAGGCGAACCGGGGGAACUGAAACAUCUAAGUACCCCGAGGAAAAGAAAUCAACCGAGAUUCCGAAAGUAGCGGCGAGCGAAAUUGGACUAGCCCUUAAGCUUUACACGCGUUAGACGAACGGUCUGGAAAGUCCGACGAUACAGGGUGAUAGUCCCGUAGUUGACGACGUGUGUUCAGUGAAAUCGAGUAGGGCGGGACACGUGAUAUCCUGUCUGAAUAUGGGGGGACCAUCCUCCAAGGCUAAAUACUACUGACUGACCGAUAGUGAACCAGUACCGUGAGGGAAAGGCGAAAAGAACCCCUGUGAGGGGAGUGAAAUAGAACCUGAAACCGUGUACGUACAAGCAGUAGGAGCAGGCUUUGUCCUGUGACUGCGUACCUUUUGUAUAAUGGGUCAGCGACUUAUAUUCAGUGGCAAGGUUAACCAUCUAGGGGAGCCGUAGGGAAACCGAGUCUUAACUGGGCGUUCAGUCUCUGGAUAUAGACCCGAAACCAGGUGAUCUAGCCAUGGGCAGGUUGAAGGUUGAGUAACAUCAACUGGAGGACCGAACCGACUAAUGUUGAAAAAUUAGCGGAUGACUUGUGGCUAGGGGUGAAAGGCCAAUCAAACCUGGAGAUAGCUGGUUCUCCCCGAAAGCUAUUUAGGUAGCGCCUCGGACGAAUACUACUGGGGGUAGAGCACUGUUAAGGCUAGGGGGUCAUCCCGACUUACCAACCCUUUGCAAACU
rnacentral:rRNA from 1 species